AAUGGCCUGCUGUGUAACUAGAUCAUAGAAUCGGAUUGUUCCGUUCUUCUCUGCUACCAUCAGCUGUAAAGAGAAAUUAAUACCACGUUGUAAACUUCGUAUGUAAUGAAUCUUAAUCUUUUCUACUCUAUAGCAAACCUAGCAUACUUUAAAGGAGAAAAUUAUGAUACAACACAAGUCAGUGAAUCGUUCUGGCCAAAGGAGCAUGCCAUCAUGUUUCCUUCCCUGAAACAUAUUCCAUGUGUGAGGAAAAUCCUAUCAUCUCUAAAAAGCCUAAAGGACUAUGGAGAAUUCCUGUUAUAGAGCUCAGACAACAAAG